rnacentral:lncRNA from 13 species
AGUUCCCUGUGUCCCUCUCAAUUCUCUUCAACAUACCACUGCAUGACUGUUAUGGGCGUACGAGCACGCUUUUACAUCCCCUGUUAACAUCCCCCGAACGGCACUUCACCAACGUCAUUGUGGAGGAUUAUCACACUCACGGUGAGUGAUGGGGCCUGGGAAGAAGUCAUUUAAAAAACAUAAUUUGUGGUUGUUUUGUAGUUCUCAGAGGAAAGCCUUUACAACAACUAGCAGACAUUGAAUACUCUUCAAAUAUGUUUUUCUAAUUGUUAUUUUGACCGGAAAAAUGCCUGCUCAACGACAAAACCUCCACCUAAAACUUCCAAGAGCCGAGACAGUGUAUUUCUCCCCACUUCAGUGUUACAGAAAUAACUUAAGUAGGUAUUGUGGUGAGGAAGACUUUUGUCUCGCCGGGUUUCUUUUAUUGGCGGUGACAAAGAGCACUUUACUGUACCUUCUUCAGCGACUGCUCCACUCUCUCGGCAGAGGGCUUUUUGGGAGUGCUGUUCUUGACCUCCGGAUCAGCGGCCACUUUGUGUACCGUCUUCAGUCUGAGCAGCUCCUCCAGNNNNNNNNNNACACACACACACACACACACACACACACACACACACACACACACACACACACACACACACACACACACACACACACACACACACACACACACACACACACACAUAUACCAUCUCUCCCCUCACACACACAUACCAUCUCUCCCCUCACACACACAUACCAUCUCUCCCCUCACACACACAUACCAUCUCUCCCCUCACACACACAUACCAAGACAAUAAAAAGACAAAAAACCAAUCAGGGUACCAGAGGAAUAAGGAAGCAUCCCUCCACACACUGCACCACACGGAGCUCCAAAGGUUUCUCUCGCCACUGGCUAAUGAGUAUGUUCAUUUACAUGUACACUGUUUCUUUGACUGUAAUGACGUCCCAUUAGGGGACACUAAAGGGCUGUAGAUUCCAGGCUGCACCGGGCUUCAUUACCAAAAGGUGGGCAGUGGGGCCCCUUUAAUUGCUCUAUGAGGACCCCGAGGUUACACUUGAUAGGACAACUGGCUGGUAGAAACUGCUGGGGGGAGAAAAAAGAAAGCUGCUCUCUUGCUCCUCCUUGAGAACAAGAAGCACUCUCCGGUCCUGCUGUCUGUGUGUGUGUGUGUGUGUGUGUGUGUGUGUGUGUGUGUGUGUGUGUGUGUGUGUGUCUUUUCUUUAAAAAUAAAUAAAGAAGCUAUGGGAACAAUAUGCUGUUGGAAUAUGGAAACAGGAAGAUGAGGAUAGGAGCCCCUGUGGUGGGAGUGUUGAGCGGAACAGAUGGCGGCUAAAAUAUGCAAUGUGACUAAAUGCGCCGAUGCUUCUUUAGUCUGGAGAUUCGGCGGUAGUAAGAGUUUAUAGGGAGGACGGAGGGAUGGCAUGUCGGCUGACCCAAAAAGGACAAAGUGACAUUGAAGGGCAACCAGAGGCCUUGUGCAAACUAGAUCUAUUUAAGCUUUACAACGGUUCUCAUUUGAACCUCACUGAGUUUACCAAACAUUAGAAACACCUUCCUAAUAGUGAGUUGCACCCCCUUUGCCCUCAGAACAGACUCAAUUCGUCAGGGCAUGUAUUCUACAAGGUGUCCAAAGCUGUUCCACAGGGAUGCUGGCCUAUGUUGACUCCAAUGCUUCCCAAAGUUGUGUCAAGUUGGCUGGAUGUCCUUUGUGUGGUGGACCAUUCUGGAUAUACAAGGGAAACUGUUGAACGUGAAAAACUCGGCAGCGUUGCAAUUCUUGAAACAAACUGGUGUGCCUGGCACCUACUAUCAUACCCCGUUCAAAGAUGCUUAAAUAUUUUGUCUUGCCCAUUCACUCACUGAAUGGCACACAUACACAAUCCAUGUCUCAAUUGUCUCAAGGCUUAAAACUCCUUCUUUAACCGGUCUCCUCCCCUUCAUCUACACUGAUUGAAGUGGAUUUAACAAGUGAGGGACAAAUAAGGGUUCAUAGCUUUCACCUGGAUUCACCUGGUCCGUCUAUGUCAUGGAAAGAGCAGGUGUUCUUAAUGUUUUGUACACUCAGUGUGUACUGCUGUGACAAAUACUUUCCUCCUGGGUGUCAACGAUCUUCAAUUCAAUUUUUUUUAAAUGUACACUCCAAAAACAAACGUACACUAACAACAACUUACAGACACCUACAAACAAUGACUACAUCUCAUCUGGCCAGACCCGCAUGCUCACACCCCCAUCCUUAGAUGAUUGCAAUACAGUCUGCUUUCUCUAUGAUUUGCUUGACCUUCACUUCACUGCAUCCAGCAAAUGAGUAGAUAAAGCAUGUCUGGUUGGAGGGGUGUAUGCUGGGUUAAGAACAUUCAGAAAUCUCUUCCAAUACACAUUGCCUGUGAGCAUCAGAGGUGAAGCAGUUGCAUACACAGCUUGAGUAAGACAUUCAUCAGGAUUUCUCUGACUACGUUCCUCCAUUGAGUCAAAAACACUUCUAAUUCCUUGAGGACCAUGAGCUGUUGCUAUCAGUAAGGUGUCUGAUUCAUCAUUUUCCCCUCAAAUAGAAGUAGAGGGACUUUUAUCAGAGGUUGCUUGUUGUGAGCACUGAGGGAACUUUAUGCACUUGGCCAGAUGAUUAUGCAUCUUUGUUGCUUUCUUCACAUAUGAUUUUUUUAGAACUGAUUUAAACAAACUUUGCUGUAAACAACUAUUUACUCAUUUACAAAAAAGUAAUGUAUGUCAUAUAAAUAUAUUCACGCCACCCAGUAUUGUAAUCAAAACUCACCAGAAAGCAGAAAUGCAUCUCAUUAGUGUGCAAGAUCUUGAGAAUCAGCUGCACAUGUGAUGGAAGA